AGUAAGAGCACUUAGAGUUUUAGUACACAGACAUUCAACAAGCGACAGCAGCAGGACUAUCGCAUAAUACUGGACUGGACUGGAUUACAAAACUUUAUAACAACACCAAUCUGAUGUCGUUCUAAUAACAUUGCGACUUUUAAGUCGUUUCCAAUGUAAUUAAGUCAGUUUAAAGUUUGUUCUUUUGCGUUUCACCUCAUAUUUUCUUUUGACAAUCAUAUGUGACAUUUUAAGAGACAAACAGUAUUACUGGUACCAUGGCUGACGCAGCCCAAAACCAGAUGGUCGAGAUCGACCCGGACUUCGAGCCGCUCUCCAGACCACGUUCCUGUACUUGGCCGCUGCCGCGGCCGGAGUUCCCCAACCCCGCUUCCGCCGACUCCAACACAUCGUCCCCGGCUCCGUCAGUCAAGCAAGAGCCCUCCAGCAACUCGGACUUUAUCAACAACCUCAGUUUGCUGGAAGAGAAUGAGGACUUCUCUGAUGAGAAGCCUCUCAUGCUGUGCGGCGAUUUCCAGUGCCAGGAGAACUGCAUCCACCACCAGCAAAUCCCGAGUCACCAGCAACAGGUGCCCGUGCUCUCUUCUCCAGUGGCCGCUGCCGCUGCAGCCGCGGCAGCCGCUCAGCGCAAGAGCAGCUCGUCCAGACGCAACGCCUGGGGGAAUAUGUCAUACGCGGACCUGAUUACCAAAGCCAUCGAGAGCUCCCCCGAAAAACGGCUCACCUUGUCUCAGAUCUACGACUGGAUGGUGAAAAGCGUCCCUUAUUUUAAGGACAAGGGGGAUAGUAACAGCUCCGCUGGUUGGAAGAACUCAAUCAGACACAACCUGUCCCUACAUAGUAGGUUUAUCCGAGUGCAGAAUGAGGGGACAGGUAAGAGCUCUUGGUGGAUGCUCAACCCUGAAGGCGGCAAAAGCGGCAAGUCGCCUAGACGCCGGGCAGCUUCCAUGGACAACAACAGCAAGUUUGCCAAGAGCAGAGGACGAGCAGCAAAGAAAAAGCUGGCUCUUCAGGGAGGGGCUGAGGGGGGCGCAGACAGCCCAGGCUCUCAGUACGGCAAAUGGCCCGGCAGUCCAAACUCCCACAGCAAUGACGACUUUGAUGCCUGGACAGCUUUCCGUCCCCGCACCAGCUCCAAUGCCAGCACACUGAGUGGUCGUCUCUCGCCCUUUAUUGAUGACGAACUUGGCGACUCUGAUGUCCACAUGGUCUACCCAGGCCCUGGGUCAGGUGCCAAAAUGACCUCCACUCUCCCCAGCUUGUCUGAAAUGGCUGGUUCUCUGGGUCACAGGGGCUCUGAGAAUGUGAUGGAGAACCUUCUGGAUAACCUCAACAUGCUCUCACCUAAGAACCCAUCAGUGGGGUCCACAGGAGGGCCUGGGUCAGGAUCCAACCAGUCCUCACCCUCUUCGCUCAUGCAGGUCAGCCCUGGUUACUCCCCCUACAGUUCCCCAGGUCUGGCUGCAGUCAACCAGCAGACCCAACAAGACUAUCAUAAGUGUCUUUACAGUCAGACAGGAAUAGCCAACAUGUCCCCUAUGCCGAUGCAGCCUCUGCCAGAAAGCAAGCCAAGUUUUGUUACUGGCCCAGGAACUAUGGGCCAGUUUAACUGCACAGCAGGGCUGCUGAAGGAGCUUCUUACAUCUGAUGGAGAGCCUGGAAAUCUCAUGCCCUCAGUGGACACGGUCAUCUCCCAGUCAGCUGGAGGCAGUGGAUGUAUGUUGCCUCCCUACAGCAGUGGACGGAAUGAACUUAUGGGAGGUGGAGCAUCUCACAGCCAUACCCUCUCUCAUCCACACAAUAUGCACGGACAAGCCACAUCUCUGGCACUGAAUGGGCGAUCGUUGCACCCUCUGACCGGGAUUGGUCACAGCAGUGCCGGUGGAUGCUUGGGAAAUGUCAAGUCAGCCAUGCAGAUGCAGUAUGGAGGAUCCAGUAACCUUGGAGGUGGGCUUCCUCCUUACUGCAGUGUCAAUAGCAACAGAUAUGGGCGUAGCCCAGGGAUGAUGCCCCACCAGCAACAGCAACACCUGGAGAAACUGCCCAGUGAUCUGGAUGGGAUGCCUGUGGAGCGAUUUGAAUGUGAUGUUGAGUCCAUCUUGCAUGAUACGCUCAUGGACGGAGAAUCGCUGGACUUCAACUUUGACCCUACAGCCACCCAACAGGGGUUCCCAACUCACAGUGUAAAGACCACCACUCACAGCUGGGUGUCUGGGUAAAGAACUCUCAACUGGAGAACAGCAGCGGUCUGGGUGUUGGAUUUCUAUUAUGGUUCGGGCUUCCAGCUGGUAUGCGUCACUAAGAACGAUCUUGACAUUGUGCCCUGAUCUCUCUGCCUUUGGACAACUCCCAGCCAAAGUUAUCUGGAUCCAAUAUACGGGUUAUCCAAUAUAUAUUUCUUAUGAUCCAACAAAUAAUUGUUGAAAUGCCCAGAAAUGGCUCUGAGAGGGUCACCCAAGGACUUGCACUGGGUUCUAGGGGACAAAUAGGUGGUAAAGCUUGAUGCAGUAUGAGAACUGGCAUUUACAGUAUUAUUUUUCUCACAGCUCUCCUGAGUUUUGCCUUGCUCUCCAUCUCAGUCCUUUGUGUAGCAGUGUGGUCCAGCAUUCUCUUUAAACUGCAUGUGUUGACAGAGAGAAGGAGGAAGUGCCGAGUGGAGGGACGCCACCCCGCUGAAGGCCCCUCAUGAGCAGCUCCUGUGGAAUGCAGUGCAUGUGACAACACGUUUUAGCUGCAUUCGCGGUGCAGCUCGAGCUGGAGGCCAUGGAGAAGCAGAUUCGGGUCCUGGAGCAGAGGCAGGCCCAGCUGAGAGAGCGGAGAGCCACGCUGGAAACCUCCCGGGCUGACACUCACAAGUCCGGGGCCUGGUGCAUCCAGGACGCGAUCUUCCCAGAUGUUCUUCACUCCGGCGCCGGGACACCACGGACCCAGGGUACAUCCGCAGUGGAGGACGGGAGCCAGGCCCCGGGCGACAACCUCUACCCCUCCGGUCUUUAAGAUCUUCACAUGGAACCGCUCCGCUCCCAUCCACAAGACGGAACGCAACGCUGUGAUCGUCGGAGACUCCAUCGUCCGACAGUUCCGUGCUACAUUAGACGAAGGUAAAAUGCACACUCACUGUUUCCCUGGUGCUCAUGUUCAUGAUGUUUCUGCGCAGAUACCCGCGAUCCUGAAGGCCGACGAGAGCCCCAGAGCGGUCGUGCUUCACGCCAGGGUUAACGACACCAUGAAGCGGCAGACGGAGACACUGAAGAGGGACUUCAGGAGCCUGAUCGAGAUGGUGCACAGCACAACACCUGCGGCGACGAUCAUUGUGUCACGACCACUCCCCACGUAUCGACGAGGACACGAAAGGUUCAGUAGACUUUUUGCUUUAAAUGAAUGGUUAUUGUCAUGGUGUAAAGAACAGAAACUGCUCUUUGUUAAUAAUUGGAAUCUUUUCUGGGCGCGUCCUAGGCUUUUUCACGCUGAUGGCCUGCACCCCAGCAGUCGGAGCGGAGCAGGAGUCAGAGCGGAGCAUCUUCAGGACUCUACGCUCCAUAUGACUAGUCACCGUAGUCAGCCAGAUCCGGUCUGUAUCCAAAUCAGAUGGUCACUGCAGUCACCCGGAUCCAGUCCAUAUCCAGUCCAUAUGGUGGAUCAGCACCUAGAAAUGACCUCAACAGCUCUGAAUGUCAGCGGAGACCAUGCCAACGAAAUGGAUCCAUAGAGACAGUUCCCUUAUGAAGACCUUGUCACCUUGAUGGCCAUCAGCACAAUCCAUGGGAACCAGAUGAGUUUUCUGCAAAUUUUCUGACUUGUGUUGCAUCUGUUUCAUUAAUCUGUUACAUCUAGUCUGUUUCAUUCUUAUUUCAAGGUCACCGUAGUCAGCCAGAUCCGGUCUGUAUCCAAAUCAGAUGGUCACUGCAGUCACCCGGAUCCAGUCCAUAUCCAGUCCAUAUGGUGGAUCAGCACCUAGAAAUGACCUCAACAGCUCUGAAUGUCAGCGGAGACCAUGUCAACGAGAUGGAUCCAUAGAGACAGUUCCCUUAUGAAGACCUUGUCACCUUGAUGGCCAUCAGCACAAUCCAUGGGAACCAGAUGAGUUUUCUGCAAAAUUCUGACUUGUGUUGCAGCCUGGAAUUAAACCAUGCCAUGCUGGUUUCAUCUGGCCAGAGGAGAAUUGGCACCCUGAGCCUGGUUUCUCCCAAAGUUUUUUUCUCCAUUUUGUCACCGAUGGAUUUUUGGUCACCUUUGGCUUUGGCCUUUGGCUUGCUUAGCUGAGGACACCUAAUUUCUGGCAACAUUGUUGACUUGAUUGCACAGAUACUAUUUGAACUUAACUGAGCUGGAGGAUGACAUCACAAUCAAUGAUCAAUCAGUCAGACAGCAAUGUCACCAAUGCGAAUGUAAGUGGAAGAAAGAGGGGCUUCAAGUGUCAUACGAAAUGCUAAAAGAUUCAUUGCACAUUUUUCAAAAAGGUGCCAAGGCUGCAAAGGCAAAAUAUAUAUCAGGAAGUAUUGCCAAAAACUUACAUUGCUCUAGAACACUUUUCUCAACAAUCGAUUCUGUUUUAAACCCCUCAGUGCAGAUUUUUCCUGAGAUCUCACCUUUGCAAUGUGAAAAUUUUCUUACGCAUUUUGUAGGUAAAGUUAAUAAUGCUAAGGCUCAGUUAGCUAUUAAGGCGAACCCCGUUUUAGAUCCUGUUUUAUCCACGACUAAAUAGAGUGAAUUUGAAUUGGUUUUUAUACAGACAUGCAGAGAAAUCACCUUAAAACUAAAAUCCACCUUUUCCCUCUUUGAUGUUAUUCCAUCACGUUUUGUUAAACAGAUCUUUGAUACCAUUAUUUCAGACCUAGUGAUUAUCAUUAACAACUGUCUAAAGACAGGGACUGUACCAGAAUGUUUUAAAGUAGCUUCUGUGAAACCAAUUUGUAAGAAGCCCACACUAGAUACUGCAGUUUACUCAAACUUUAGACCGAUCUCAAAUUUGCCACUUUUAUCUAAAAUGUAAGAAAAAGUACUACUUAUACAAUUACAACGCUAUUUGAGUACUAACUGUAUCUCUGAUAUUUUUCAGUCUGGUUUUAAAAGUUUACACAGCACAGAGUCUGCCCUUUUGAAUUUCUUUAAUGACAUUUUAAUAUCUAAUGAUUCUGGUAAUACUAUGGCCUUAGUGCUUUUAGAUCUGAGUUCAGCGUUUGAUUUUGUUGACCAUGGUAUUCUGCUAUCUCGCUUGGAGCACUACAUUGGUAUUAGAGGCACUGUACUUGACUGGUUUCGGUCCUUUUUGUCUAACAGAAGAUUUAUUAGUCAGUAUUGGGCAAUAUUCCUCUUCUGUAGCAUAUUCUUCAUGUGGUGUUCCUCAAGGUUCAACUUUGGCGCCAUUAUUGUUCACACUGUACAUGUUACUCAUUGGUUCAAUCUUUAGGAGAUUCAAUGUGUUAUAUCACUGCUAUGCCAAUGACACCCAGCUUAACAUACCACUUAAGCGCAAUGACAACUCUGCAUUAUACCAACUAACAGCCUGUCUCCAAUAAUUAAAAAUAAUUUUCUGCAUUUGUAUGACGAUAAAAGUCAAAUUGUUCUGUUUUGGCCUAACGAGAAAACUGAUCUGAAGAUCGUUGAUCUGGGCUCUCUUUCCCCAUAUUGCUCUGCUGAGGUCAAGGAUCUGGGCUUCAUACUGGACAGCGACCUAAAGCUGAACAAACAAAUUAAUUCUACUGUGAGUGCUGGCUUUAACCAUCUGCAAAGAUUAGCAAAAGUUAAACCCUUCCUAAGCAUGAAGAGUUUUAAAGUUGUCAUUCACACUUUCAUUUCUUCGCGACUUAACUAUUGCAAGUCGCUAUAUUAUGGGCUGCCUGCCCCAUCCAUUCCUUGUCUGCAACUUGCUUGUUUGCUCACAGGCAGUCACAGAAGGAAUCACAUUACGCCUAUCUUGCGUUCAUUGCACUGGUUCCCGAUUACUUAUCGCAUUCAAUAAAAAUUCUGCUAUUCGUAUACAAAGCUCUAAACAAUCUUGCUCCUCCCUAUCUCUCUGAGUUGAUUAUAGUACACAAUCCAGCUAGAUCACUCAGAUCACAAACUAAGCAUCGGCUUUUGGUUCCCAGAACUAGAUUGAAAUGUAGGGGUGACAGAGUCUUUGCUGUUGCUAUCCCCAAGCUAUGGAACAAUUUGCCAUUAUGCAUCAGAAUAGCUUCUUCAAUGUCUGUGUUCAAAAGUCUUUUAAAGACUUAUCUUUUUUAAAGUGCUUUAUACUGUAAAUAAAUUGAAAAUUGAACAAUGAUGAACUGACUUUAAGUGUAAAA